rnacentral:tRNA from 1 species
GGCCAGAUGUUCGAGUGGUCUAAGAAGCUAGCUUCAGGCGCUAGUCCGAAAGGGCGUGGGUUCAAAUCCCACUCUGGUCA